GUGUAAUGCCCUAUUGAGGAGGCGCGAGAGACUGGUUGUAGGAGGUACCCACAGAGGUAUGACGUAGGCCGAUGAAGUAUUGGGGAGAGGUGAUUACAUAGGAUAUGGUUCAACUUUAUAUUACCACGGACAUGACUCUAAAUAGGGAGUUGCGUAUUAGGGCAGAAGGUUAGUAGGGGCGAAAGUGUUGUCUUGUUGUGCAUAGGUUUAGACUUGUUAGUGCCCGGCAUAGUGCUAGUCGUACCCUAGUAGUUCUUGCCAUAUGUCAUGUAUCCUAUUUGGAUUAUCACACUAUUUUGUUG
rnacentral:misc_RNA from 1 species